GGUUCGAAGUCUGUUGGGAGGGA
rnacentral:siRNA from 1 species